AUAGGCGAAGCGUGCGAUUGGAUUGCACGUCUAAGCAGUAAGGCUGAGUAUUAGGCAAAUCCGGUACUCGUUAAGGCUGAGCUGUGAUGGGGAGAAGACAUUGUGUCUUCGAGUCGUUGAUUUCACACUGCCGAGAAAAGCCUCUAGAUAGAAAAUAGGUGCCCGUACCGCAAACCGACACAGGUAGUCAAGAUGAGAAUUCUAAGGUGAGCGAGCGAACUCUCGUUAAGGAACUCGGCAAAAUGACCCCGUAACUUCGGGAGAAGGGGUGCUCUUUAGGGUUAACGCCCAGAAGAGCCGCAGUGAAUAGGCCCAAGCGACUGUUUAUCAAAAACACAGGUCUCUGCUAAACCGUAAGGUGAUGUAUAGGGGCUGACGCCUGCCCGGUGCUGGAAGGUUAAGAGGAGUGGUUAGCUUCUGCGAAGCUACGAAUCGAAGCCCCAGUAAACGGCGGCCGUAACUAUAACGGUCCUAAGGUAGCGAAAUUCCUUGUCGGGUAAGUUCCGACCCGCACGAAAGGCGUAACGAUUUGGGCACUGUCUCAACGAGAGACUCGGUGAAAUCAUAGUACCUGUGAAGAUGCAGGUUACCCGCGACAGGACGGAAAGACCCCGUGGAGCUUUACUGUAGCCUGAUAUUGAAAUUCGGCACAGCUUGUACAGGAUAGGUAGGAGCCUUUGAAACGUGAGCGCUAGCUUACGUGGAGGCGCUGGUGGGAUACUACCCUAGCUGUGUUGGCUUUCUAACCCGCACCACUUAUCGUGGUGGGAGACAGUGUCAGGCGGGCAGUUUGACUGGGGCGGUCGCCUCCUAAAAGGUAACGGAGGCGCUCAAAGGUUCCCUCAGAAUGGUUGGAAAUCAUUCAUAGAGUGUAAAGGCAUAAGGGAGCUUGACUGCGAGACCUACAAGUCGAGCAGGGUCGAAAGACGGACUUAGUGAUCCGGUGGUUCCGCAUGGAAGGGCCAUCGCUCAACGGAUAAAAGCUACCCCGGGGAUAACAGGCUUAUCUCCCCCAAGAGUUCACAUCGACGGGGAGGUUUGGCACCUCGAUGUCGGCUCAUCGCAUCCUGGGGCUGUAGUCGGUCCCAAGGGUUGGGCUGUUCGCC
rnacentral:rRNA from 1 species